CUUGGCGGAUGCUUUACCAUGCAAGUCGAACGGCAGCACGGGAGCUUGCUCCUGGUGGCGAGUGGCGAACGGGUGAGUAAUGCGUCGGAACGUACCGAGUAAUGGGGGAUAACGCAGCGAAAGCUGUGCUAAUACCGCAUACGCCCUGAGGGGGAAAGUGGGGGAUCGCAAGACCUCACGUUAUUCGAGCGGCCGACGUCUGAUUAGCUAGUUGGUGGGGUAAAGGCCUACCAAGGCGACGAUCAGUAGCGGGUCUGAGAGGAUGAUCCGCCACACUGGGACUGAGACACGGCCCAGACUCCUACGGGAGGCAGCAGUGGGGAAUUUUGGACAAUGGGGGCAACCCUGAUCCAGCCAUUCCGCGUGAGUGAAGAAGGCCUUCGGGUUGUAAAGCUCUUUCAGCUGGAACGAAACGGUACAUCCUAAUACGGUGUGCUAAUGACGGUACCAGCAGAAGAAGCACCGGCUAACUACGUGCCAGCAGCCGCGGUAAUACGUAGGGUGCGAGCGUUAAUCGGAAUUACUGGGCGUAAAGCGUGCGCAGGCGGAUUGUUAAGCAAGAUGUGAAAUCCCCGGGCUUAACCUGGGAAUGGCAUUUUGAACUGGCAGUCUAGAGUGUGUCAGAGGGGGGUGGAAUUCCACGUGUAGCAGUGAAAUGCGUAGAGAUGUGGAGGAACACCAAUGGCGAAGGCAGCCCCCUGGGAUAACACUGACGCUCAUGUACGAAAGCGUGGGUAGCAAACAGGAUUAGAUACCCUGGUAGUCCACGCCCUAAACGAUGUCAACUGGUUGUUGGGGGAGUGAAAUCCUUUAGUAACGA
rnacentral:rRNA from 1 species